rnacentral:rRNA from 1 species
AUCCUGGCUCAGAACGAACGCUGGCGGCAUGCCUAACACAUGCAAGUCGAACGAGACCUUCGGGUCUAGUGGCGCACGGGUGCGUAACGCGUGGGAAUCUGCCCUUGGGUUCGGAAUAACAGUGAGAAAUUACUGCUAAUACCGGAUGAUGUCGCAAGACCAAAGAUUUAUCGCCCAGGGAUGAGCCCGCGUAGGAUUAGCUAGUUGGUGAGGUAAAGGCUCACCAAGGCGACGAUCCUUAGCUGGUCUGAGAGGAUGAUCAGCCACACUGGGACUGAGACACGGCCCAGACUCCUACGGGAGGCAGCAGUGGGGAAUAUUGGACAAUGGGCGAAAGCCUGAUCCAGCAAUGCCGCGUGAGUGAUGAAGGCCUUAGGGUUGUAAAGUCUUUUACCCGGGAUGAUAAUACAGUACCGGGAAAAUAAGCCCCGGACUAACAAAAUUCC